CUUGACCGAGCCGAGCCAGAGCGGCUGCUGCGGAUCCCGGCCCUGCCCGUACGUGGCGAGCAGCGCCUGGGCCUC
rfam:Micromonospora rifamycinica strain AM105 contig284, whole genome shotgun sequence.